rnacentral:rRNA from 1 species
UACGUAGGAGACGAGCGUUGUCCGGAAUCACUGGGCGUAAAGAGCUCGUAGGCGGUUUGUCACGUCUGCUGUGAAAACUGGAGGCUCAACCUCCAGCCUGCAGUGGGUACGGGGCAGACUAGAGUGCGGUAGGGGAGAUUGGAAUUCCUGGUGUAGCGGUGGAAUGCGCAGAUAUCAGGAGGAACACCGAUGGCGAAGGCAGAUCUCUGGGCCGUAACUGACGCUGAGGAGCGAAAGCAUGGGGGAGCGAACAGG